UACGGAGGGUGCGAGCGUUGUCCGGAAUCAUUGGGCGUAAAGGGCGCGUAGGUGGCCCGGUCAGUUCGUGGUGAAAGCGCGGGGCUCAACCCUGCGUCGGCCAUGAAUACUGCCGCGGCUGGAGCACUGUAGAGGCAGACGGAAUUCCGGGUGUAGCGGUGGAAUGCGUAGAGAUCCGGAAGAACACCGGUGGCGAAGGCGGCCUGCUGGGCAGUUGCUGACACUGAGGCGCGACAGCGUGGGGAGCAAACGGG
rnacentral:rRNA from 1 species